CCGUCCUCUAUCUCUCUCCCUCAUACUCUCUUGAUCUCUUUCCCUUCCUCUCCCUCCCCCUCUUGAUCUCCCUCUCCUCCCUCUCUCUCGAUCUCUCUUUUCCUCAUUUUCUUCGAUGUGUUGUUCCUUCUUCGAUCUCUCUCCAACAAUCGAAGAAAGUAGAAGAAAGAAGAGAAAAUCGAAGGUAGUGAUGAAAUCUGUCCAUGACUGUUAUGGUGGUGACUAGGAAGUUUGUGGGAUUAUCCUUUAUGGUUUCAUGAAAAAAGGAAUGUAAGCUCAUGGGCCGGCUAGCUGGAGUGUCAUCCCUGUUUGGGCUGGUGGUGCCAACUGCUGGUGGCUUGGUUUCUAGUGUUUGGCUAGUAGAGGUGUGGCUGGAGAAUCCAAUGCUCUCGAGGAAGCCUGGCUUUUCCUGCUUUCGGAUUUUUGGUGCAACAGAGAAGGCUUGGUUGGGAGUUGUAGCUUUUCCCAAGUGAAGUGAGCUCCUUUUAGGCCCAAGAAGAGAUGGUGGAAGGGCUGUUUUUUUUUUUUUUUUUUUUUGGAAUUGAAAAUCAGCCUGUUUAAUAUUAAAUCUAAUGACCAAAAAUGUGUUAAUAUAUGGGUCAGAAAAUGUUUGGAUCAUGUGAAAACUAUGGCAAAACUCUCAUAUGUAUGGUAUAAGUUUGGCAAAGUAAUCUAAAAAUCAUGAUAGGCUGAAACGAUGUAACUGCUGGAAAUGGAGACCUUACAGGCUUGUUAUUAUCAAGAAGAGCCUAUGGUUCUGUACAUUGGCUAAGUUAUGAAGUCUCUAAUGUUUGUGGGUUUAGAGUAGUGAAUUUUAAAGAUAUUUGAUAGUAUCGAUAUGUCUAAAUGGUUUUCUUUUUUUUUUUUCUAGGUUUGCCAUCUGCUAAUUUUACUAUCGAAGGAACUUUUGGGAGAUUUUGAAGCAUGCAUUGAGAUGUUCAUUCCAGUGCUUUUCAAGCUGGUUGUGAUAACAGUGCUUGUAAUUGCAGAGUCUGCAGACAACUGCAUAAAGACAGUAUGAAUCAGAUAAUACUUCUUCCCUCUAUAGACAUCUUUGUUGUAAGCUUCUUUUUGCAAUAUCUUGUGGGAAUUUCAGAUGUUACGGAACUGCAAAGUUGCCCAAAUUCUUUUAAUUUUCCCUGCAUUUCUAAAACUCUAAUAUCUUUUUAAUUAUAACCUUUUUUAGAUCAUCCACCAAUCCAUCAGUUGAUAAAUUCAUAAAUCUAUCAAGCAAUUUGACAACAAACUCAUCAAGAGACACUCCAUCUGGAUAGAUAUGCUCUUCUUCUUCAACAUUUAAUUGGCUAAAAAAAAUCUGGCUCUCUUAAUUAAUCUUGCCUAUAUAGGGUUGUUGCCUAUGGUCUGAUAUGAGUAUAUACUUAUUGGACCUCGAAGUAGCUGACCAUGAGUCCUUUUAGCCGUCUUGGCCAUUCAUUACCAUAAUUAUGUUUGUGAUUCAUGACCUUAGUUAAUUGAACAAUCCUGACUUGCACCAACUGCAUUGUUUGCUGCAAGGGCACAGGCUCUUCCCUAAUCACUAGUUGAUUGUAAGGAACUGUGUAUACGAUUAUCACCUCCCAAUCCACUAUUUGAAGUCAUGGACUUGAUGAAAGGAUUCACUUUAAUAUUAACUAGUGUGGUGGUUCUAAUACUAAUUGGCAUAGCGGUUCUAAUACUAUGAUCUGUUGUGGAUAUCUCAAUCAGUAAUCUUCUUGGUCAAAUCAAGUCCAACAUCUGAUGUGCAUAGAUGUUUGUGAUUUACAUUUGAUUUUUGCAUACAGAUCAAGGAAUGGGCCAAAGCACAACAUAUCAAUGAUCCAAAGACUAGAACUUUGAAUUCAUAUUCUCUUUGUUUGCAGGUUAUCUUCCAUUAAUAAUGGUCUGAGUGGACUGUGGAGCACAUAACUCCAUAGUUAAAUACAUGAAUCAAUUAAAUUAUGGGGCCUAGAAGUCUAUUUGAUUACUUCUUCUUGGGUAUUAUGUAAAUCAUACAGUUCCUAGUGGCCAUUCAUUUGACUAGUCUUGCUUCAAAUUUAUUUUUCUUUAAGAACUAUUAUUGCUCCUUAUGUUCAAUUUUUGUUUUCUUGUGACAUUUCUUUGCAGGUUCAUCAACAUAAAUUUUGCCCAAAAUGUGUAUUGAUGAUGCUAUAAUGUUGAGACGCAUGAUGGAAGCGUCUUGGAUUGAUGGGAUGUAGUACAUGAUGAAAGUACUGGACGCUUUAAAUUUGACAUGUUGAUGAUCUGAUCAACAUACUUGUGGCCUGCCAGAUGAGUGGACUGGACUAUUUUUGUUCCAGGAGAUCUUCAUAGUGGGCUUCCUUUUCCACAGCUCGGAUGUAGUACACACAUGACAUGUUGUCCCAUAAGAUCAUUGGUGCAUUAAGCUAACCUGCAACUGUUUACAGGUAAUCAUGCUUUGCUAAGUUCACACAUGUAUGCAAGGCAGUUCAUGCACACACCAGCACUUGUCCCAUUGCAGCGUCCAGGUGCAAUGUCCAAGCUAUUCAUUAGGUGGUUUUGACCAUGUCAUGAAAGUAAAUCUGGUCCAUUCAGCAGGUGGGCCAUAAUCUUAGAAGCAGUUGGAUGGGUAAAGACA